rnacentral:rRNA from 1 species
AUUGAACGCUGGCGGCAUGCCUAACACAUGCAAGUCGAACGGUAACGCGGAGAGCUUGCUCUCUGGCGACGAGUGGCGGACGGGUGAGUAAUACUUAGGAAUCUGCCCAUUAGUGGGGGACAACUCGGGGAAACUCGAGCUAAUACCGCAUACGCCCUACGGGGGAAAGCGGGGGAUCUUCGGACCUCGCGCUAUUGGAUGAGCCUAAGUCGGAUUAGCUUGUUGGUGAGGUAACGGCUCACCAAGGCGACGAUCCGUAGCUGGUCUGAGAGGACGAUCAGCCACACUGGGACUGAGACACGGCCCAGACUCCUACGGGAGGCAGCAGUGGGGAAUAUUGGACAAUGGGGGCAACCCUGAUCCAGCAAUGCCGCGUGUGUGAAGAAGGCCUGCGGGUUGUAAAGCACUUUCAGUAGAGAAGAAAAGCUUACGGUUAAUACCCGUGAGUCUUGACGUAACCUACAGAAGAAGCACCGGCUAACUCCGUG